UCUACGGGAGGCAGCAGUGGGGAAUAUUGCACAAUGGGCGGAAGCCUGAUGCAGCAACGCCGCGUGCGGGAUGACGGCCUUCGGGUUGUAAACCGCUUUCGCCUGUGACGAAGCGUGAGUGACGGUAAUGGGUAAAGAAGCACCGGCUAACUACGUGCCAGCAGCCGCGGUGAUACGUAGGGUGCGAGCGUUGUCCGGAUUUAUUGGGCGUAAAGGGCUCGUAGGUGGUUGAUCGCGUCGGAAGUGUAAUCUUGGGGCUUAACCCUGAGCGUGCUUUCGAUACGGGUUGACUUGAGGAAGGUAGGGGAGAAUGGAAUUCCUGGUGGAGCGGUGGAAUGCGCAGAUAUCAGGAGGAACACCAGUGGCGAAGGCGGUUCUCUGGGCCUUUCCUGACGCUGAGGAGCGAAAGCGUGGGGAGCGAACAGGCUUAGAUACCCUGGUAGUCCACGCUGUAAACGGUGGGUACUAGGUGUGGGGUCCAUUCCACGGGUUCCGUGCCGUAGCUAACGCUUUAAGUACCCCGCCUGGGGAGUACGGCCGCAAGGCUAAAACUCAAAUGAAUUGACGGA
rnacentral:rRNA from 1 species